CACAAAAGACAGUAAACGCCAAGACAAAAACCUGAAGAAACAACUAACAAGAGCGAAAUUCUCAUCAGAGACUAAAACUGAAUUCUCUGUAAAAGAGUGUGGAAAUGGUAGAUGUGGGAUCUGCAUCAUCGCAACAACAACAACAACAAUAACAACAACA